CGGCCAAAUCACAGCUCUGAGUGGGGAACCACAUUUGAACAGACUAGUCCCUUCUGCCUUCUGGGCAGGUCACAUCUGAAAGAUUAUCCUCUUUGAAUCAGUUUGAAUGUUCUAGUGACCAGGCCACACAGUUUCUCUUGACAUUUAAAAAUAAAGCUUCCAGUCUUGUCACUAAUGGAUUUGGGGUCCAGUACCCUUAAAAUCACCUCAGAGCUGCCUGAAUCCAUAGACUACUUGCAGAAUCACUGGUUUUACUUGGAUCAAGCCAUCUGAGAAGAAAAAAGCAUUGGAAAUGGAGGAGACUGUCAAGGACAAUAAUAAAUGAUGUUUGGCUGAAAUAAAAACUCAAAGCCCCCACAAUAUUGAACCACCAUUCCAGACCCAGCCAAGGUUUGGAACAUAAAGUGAGCUGAAUGAAUCAGCCUGCAGGCAACCCAGAGAAAGUAAUUGUUCAUCCUAGCAGCACGGCUGCUUUUCUGCUUAGCAUCUGAACAAGUUAAUUUGGAAACACAGCCUUCUGGAAAGAAAUGGCGCUUCUCUCAGCAUCCCAUGGAUUCAUGAGCAGCUCCUUGAAUGCAAAUAUUGCCUGAUAUUUUCAUGUGGUCUCCAGACACAGGAGAAGAGCGACGGCGAAGAAAGGAAGGAAGGAAGAAAGAAAAGGAGCCUGAAUUUACACUCACCGCUUCAAAAGCCCUUUUGUACUAAGCCAACUUCUCCUGGCUGAAGAUGCAGUAUCUGCCAAGAAGUCGCCUGCAAGAAAG
rnacentral:lncRNA from 10 species